CGGGCUGUAGCGCAGCUUGGUAGCGCAUCCGCUUUGGGAGCGGAGGGUCGCAGGUUCAAAUCCUGUCAGCCCGACCA
rnacentral:tRNA from 5 species